AGAUGCUGAAGUUACAAAAGAAAGAGUAAAACAAGCUCCUUCAGAGAAGGAAGCACCAAAGAAAAAGGCUAAAGCACCUCCUGCAAAGAAAGAAGCUGUUGCUCCAAAAGAAAAGCCCAAACCAGCGAUCUUGGCAAAAG